GCCUUCGCUGCCUCUUCGUUGCUACUCGCUGCUAGCGAACCUGGAUGCUUUGCUUCUGACUUGGUUUCGUUAAGUGAACCGGAAUUCGCGUUGUGAAAUAGGACAUGAUUUUUGCUUUGCUUUUUCCUUCCUUUGAUCCAUUCCUAUAAUAAUUAACCACACAUCAUAAUAAGUAUCAUUUUCUUGACAAAGUGUGUAUAAUUUCAUGAAUAAGUGUUUCCUUAAUUCGAUAAAUGCUAUUUUUCAUAAGUAAAUAUUAUCCAUUUUUGGGCAUUUAUCAAUAAUCAAAGAAUUUGACCUUGGGGCUUUGAUUCCCCUCUGCAACCUCUACAUCCUGGUAAAAAAAAUUGAAGCGAAAAAAGAGGGAAAAGGAAACAUCCUAUCUAUAGGGAGGCGGUGUGCCCUGGGAGCUGUUGAAGGUCUUGAAUAUGAAGUUGCAGAGAAAAUACUAGAGAGGUGAUCAAGUAAGAAACUUAGAAUCUUCAAUUCUUGCAAUGAUUUUCUUCUUCUUCUUCUAUGGAUAGCCUGUAGGAUUGUUCUUUGUUGUUAUUGUUAAGUGAAGAGAGUGUAGAGUGUAGAGGUUUAGCUCUUGUUGAAGAAAAACUUCAAGGUGAAGUUUUACUCAACAAUGGUGGAUUGAGAGCUUUGAGUGUGUUAGUGAGGUUGUGAGAGAAGAGUGGAUUGCAAAGAGUGAUGAUGAAUUGUGAUCAAAGUGAAAUGUGAGUGUUUUUCAGAGU
rnacentral:lncRNA from 1 species